rnacentral:rRNA from 1 species
AAAUAUUUCCGUACUUUUUAUAACUGCGAUGUGGGGACGGAGUAGUGACACUGCCGCGAUCUGACGGAAUAGAUCGUUAAAGGCUGUAGGUAUUGGACCGGUAGGCAAAUCCGCCGGUCUAGCUGAACGCUGAUAGUACAACAAACCUUCGGGGGCGUUGAUAGCGCAGGUAAUCAGACUUCCAAGAAAAACCGCUAAGCUUCAGGUUAUAAAAACCCGUACCGCAAACCGACACAGGUAUCCGGGAAGAGAAUUCUAAGGUGCUCGAGUGAAUCAUGGCUAAGGAACUCGGCAAAAUGGCCCUGUAACUUCGGGAGAAGGGGCGCUGGUAGCAAUAUCAGCCGCAGUGAAAAGGCCCAGGCGACUGUUUAACAAAAACACAUGGCUUUGCAAAAUCGAAAGAUGAAGUAUAAGGCCUGACACCUGCCCGGUGCUGGAAGGUUAAGAGGGGAUGUUAGGGUUAAACCGAAGCAUUGAAUCGAAGCCCCAGUAAACGGCGGCCGUAACAAUAACGGUCCUAAGGUAGCGAAAUUCCUUGUCGGGUAAGUUCCGACCUGCACGAAUGGUGUAACGAUCUGGGCGCCGUCUCAGCCAUGAGCUCGGUGAAAUUGUGGUCCCGGUGAAGACGCCGGGUACCCGCAACGGGACGGAAAGACCCCAUGCACCUUCACUACAAUUUAACAUUGACAUUGGAUACAGGAUGUGUAGGAUAGGUGGGAGACUAUGAAGCGGCGUCGCUAGGCGUCGUGGAGUCAACGUUGAAAUACCACCCUUUCUGUAUUCGGUGUCUAACUCCGCUGGUCGGAGGACAUUGUUUGAUGGGUAGUUUGACUGGGGUGGUCGCCUCCAAAAAGGUAACGGAGGCUUUCAAAGGUAAGCUCAAUACGCUUGGUAACCGUAUGAGGAGUGCAAUAGCAUAAGCUUGCUUGACUGUGAGACAGACAAGUCGAUCAGGGUCGAAAGACGGAUAUAGUGAUCCGGUGGUUCUGCAUGGAAGGGCCAUCGCUCAAAGGAUAAAAGGUACGCUGGAUAACAGGCUGAUCUCCCCCAAGAGCUCAUAUCGACGGGGAGGUUUGGCACCUCGAUGUCGGCUCGUCACAUCCUGGGGCUGGAGAAGGUCCCAAGGGUUCGGCUGUUCGCCGAUUAAAGUGGCACGCGAGCUGGGUUCAGAACGUCGCGAGACAGUUCGGUCCCUAUCUGUUGUGGGCGUUGGAAUUUUGAGUGGGGCUGACCUUAGUACGAGAGGACCGGGUUGGACUAGCCUCUAGUGAAUCUGUUGUUCCGCCAGGGGCAUUGCAGAGUAGCUACGCUGGGAAUAGAUAAGCGCUGAAAGCAUCUAAGUGCGAAACUAGCCACGAGAUGAGAAUUCCAUAUAGGACCGUAGCAGACUACUACGUUGAUAGGUUACAGAUGUAAAGGUGGUGACAUCAAAGUCGAGUAAUACUAAUAAUCCAAAA